UUACUUACUGAAAAUCUUUGGUGAACAAAAGUUGUGAGCAUGAAUACUGACCAUGUGCCAAGCCAUUAGUACUUAGACUGGAUGACAGCCUUUGAGGAAUAACAUCUCCCGUUUGUCACGUUUUUUCCAGCGCACUGGUCUUGGCUGUGGUUCACCCUGUGCCUCAUUCUCCACAAUUAACAAGAAAAAAAUGCAACACUUAAAAUACAGUCCAUGAUGAAAGCAAAGAUUAUCAAACAUCUUAAGUUAAUUUCACAGAAAUUGUAUGUGUGUGUAUAUAUAUAUCUAUAUCUAUAGAUAUAUAUAUAUGAAAAUCUAAAUAAUACAACUUUGACUCCCCACAAUAAAUUAGACAAGAAUGUUCCCUCUGUAACACCUGUUUCCCCUACAUCACUUUUAAAAAUAAUAAUGUUACCUCCAUAUCCUGAAGAAGUUCGUCGGCACCCUGAAGAUCUUCCUCCAGCUCAAGAUCCUCUGAAUCCAUCAUUGGUGGAUUAAAUAGCUAAUCUGCAGUAGCCACGUGUAGUCGUUACCAUACUCUAUCUAGCAAGCAUGCUGAAGGACACAGUAGCCAUGUUUGAAUGUCUUAAACUGCAUCCAAAAUCAGACGCCUUUGUUUGUUUGAAGCUUUUCUGAAAAAGAAAAGAAAAUUGCAGAACUUUAGUGAAUCAAGCUAAUCUGUCUUUCUAAAACAUAUCACUUCCUCAAAGUAGUCAUAUAUAUUUACAUACCUGCGUUACAAUCAAUCAAUCUAUCAAUCAAUUUCUUCUUUUUCUUCUAAGAGGGUCUCAACCUGUGCGUACACUGGUUGCGUCUGAUUGGUGGAGCUCAGAGCGUCCAAAACUGAUGGGAGUGGUGAAUUAAUCUAUAAAUGUGUUUUACAUGUGAAAUGAAAAUAAUAAACCUAACAAAGCAUUAUUAACAUUUGCGUUUAAAAAGAAUUUAAAUGCUUAAUGUUGCCAUUUUUUAUCCACUGUCCUCUCUUCCAUUUCUGUUACUUCUUAUAAUGUAAUCCAGAAAAAACAUAUUUUCCCGACUAAAGAGCACACCUCAAUAUAAGCCGCCCCCACAAAGUUUAAAAAAAAAAUGGAAAUGUACAUAUAUAAGCCGCACCAGGCUAUAAGCCACUGAUAUCUACUGAACUGAUUAGUUUAACUGAACAUAACUGAACUGAUCAGUUUCCGAACGGUGACUGUAGCAUAAAAGUAAAAGUGCUGAUCAAAUAAAACAGAAAAGUUAUUGAUUGGUUUAUUCAUCCUCCUCCUGCGUACUGAAACCCCUGAAGUCAUCUUCUUCAGUGUCAGAGUUGAACAGCCUCAGAAGAGCUCCAUCACAUACGUUUUCUGUGUCUAUGUCAGUGUUGCUCUCCGUGUCGCUGUCAUCCCGGGGUAAAGCUGGCUCUGAAGCUGUGGUGCCCUGUUCACAGAAAUCCACAGAAAAGCCGCAUCUUUGCAUAAGCCGCAUGGUUCAAAGAGUGGGAAAAAAGUAACGGCUUAUAGUCUGGAAAAUACGGUACUACUCUACUACUACUCAUACCCUCACAAACAAUGCCAAUCUGACAACAUAUAUUAUCAUAUCAACAACACCACCAAACGGCAGUGUUCAAGAUCUCACUGUAUCAAAUGUACAAGAUCAAAACUAUAACGUGACAACAAUGAAAAACACAAUGCACGACUUAUGGCAUGAACAGCACACAAUAUGUAAACUACAUUAUCAAUUCCACUUAGAGUAAAAAUAACUUAGACUCACAGAUCGCUUAUCUUUGGAGGCUCCAAAGAGCAGACAUGGAAAGCAAUAGAGCGGCAAGCUCCUGGUAACUUUGUUUUACACUUUAACCACUCCUGGUUGAAUUACCUAUUUUUGUCUUUUUUCUGUUGAGAAAUGAUUAAGUCCUUUUAUCUCCAACAUCUGCUCAAGUGGUAAAGUCCUAAAUUGCACAUCAGCCAGAUAGUCAAUUUGAUUCUUCAUGAAAUGAAUGAAUGAAACGUGAAGUACCUCUUACGUUAUGUACAUUAGCUGAGCUAGCUGACCUGUGCAGUUCGCCUCCCUCAGGCAGGCAAUGAGAAGCGCUAUGGGGCCCUGAACUUCAGGCCAGGGCCAAGGCCCCUAACUGUAGGCUGACUGUGCUACAGCAAGUUUGCCCAUUGCUAAGUAUGGGAAUCAGUUCAAUUUCUGUGGAAAGCUGGUACACAGUGUGCACUUGGCCUGGCCUGUCAACUCCAAAAUAUGCCUGUCACACUUACUACCUUCCCUACUCAGGCUGAUCAAUGCAGGUAUUUCUUUCCUGUUUUCAACAUGCUCUCAAGGUCCAUCUUCUUUUUCCAGUUGGCAAAGCACCAGUCCGGAGCAGCUGUUAUUUCAAGCUGUGACAUUCCUGCCGUAGCUGACUUGCAGGCAGGCUGGCUGAGAUUAUCAUUUGUGGGUUCUUGGUCUGCAGUAAACCUUGAUAGAAUGACUGACAAUCAGACUAAUCACAUCUCAACAGAGUUCCAUUUUGUGUGCUUUUGUGUAUGACACAGAUGAUGUGGCUGCCUGCAAUGCGGACCUCCUAGUAUUUUCUGUAGAGUGCUUGCAGGUGGAUGGCCUUGGCAGGGCUUUAGAGGUGUGCAGUUGUGUGGGAAUCACAGUAUGGGGCUCAUUUGUUGCUGCUAGGCACCUCCCCCCAACGGGGGCAUCAUCUGAGAAUCAGAACCAGCUGUUUCAUAUUCAAGCCUUCCGAAUUAAGCUAUUAUAACUUAGGUUCCAGAAGGAAACUACGCCUCAUGUACCUCAUGUGUCUGCUGUCCCCACCCCUCCCUGUUCUUUUCCUCCUCUUCCAUAUUUCAUUACAAGUAUCAGGGGGACAAGGAGCCAAAGCUUCCUGAGAUGUGUCCCACCAUGAGUUUUCCUUUCUGGUUUCCUCUGUACCUGAAGACCGUCAUAUAUCUAUGCAUUCCACCACUCUCCUCACUGUCAUUUCUUCCACACCUCGGAACACUCUGAUCAGUUUUUGUUAGUAAAUUCACUUUUUUUCACUUAGUUGUUAAAUAGAAUACAAGUCUAACAACUAUCCUAAACAAAACAAAAACAAAAGCUCUUGGGGAUUGUAUUAUAAUAUUACAGUCAUACAGAUUGUAUCAUGUGAUUAUUGAUCCAGUCCAGUAUCAUGUAUAUGUACCGAGUCCUGUAUAUGGUCCACUUUUACCAUUUUCUGUCCAAUUGUGCUUCCUGUAACCUCAACAUGAGUGUCAACUUUUCCAUUAAAAAUAUUUCUUCCAUUA